CAGCCGAUGGAUUUGAUUGUAAGAACUAGAACAGCGUGGGAAAGCUGACCGAAGAUGGUGAUAGUCCAGUAUAGGUAGAAAGCAAUUAAGUUCUUGAGUAGGGCGGAGCACGAGAAAUUCUGUCUGAAAAUGGGGAGACCACUCUCCAAGGCUAAGUACUACUGAGUGACCGAUAGUGAACAAGUACCGUGAGGGAAAGGUGAAAAGCACCCCUAUAAGGGGAGUGAAAAAGAACCUGAAACCGGAUGCCUACAAGCAGUCGGAGGAGCAUUAGGCUCUGACGGCGUACCUUUUGUAUAAUGGGUCAGCGACUUAAUUUAUGUAGCAAGCUUAAGCCGAUAGGUGUAGGCGCAGCGAAAGCGAGUGUUAAUAGCGCGUUAAGUUACAUGGAUUAGACCCGAAACCGAGUGAUCUAGCCAUGAUCAGGUUGAAGGUUGGGUAACACCAACUGGAGGACCGAACCCACUCCCGUUGAAAAGGUAGGGGAUGAAUUGUGGCUAGGGGUGAAAGGCCAAUCAAACUCGGAAAUAGCUGGUUCUCCGCGAAAACUAUUUAGGUAGUGCGGCAAGCGGACACGUUGAGGGGUAGAGCACUGAAAGAGCUAAGGGGGAGCGAUCCUUACUAAACUUUAUCAAACUCCGAAUACUCAACAGUGAUACUUGCCAGACAGACUGUAGGUGCUAAGGUCUACGGUCGAGAGGGAAAGAGCCCAGACCGCCAAUUAAGGUCCCAAAAUUAUGGCUAAGUGGUAAAGGAAGUGAAUUGUCCAAAACAGUCAGGAGGUUGGCUUAGAAGCAGCCAUCCUUUAAAGAAAGCGUAAUAGCUCACUGAUCUAAACAAGACGAUUUGCGCCGAAGAUGUAACGGGGCUAAAGCCAUAUACCGAAGUUGCGGAAUUGCACGUAAGUGCAAUUGGUAGCGGAGCGUUCUGUAAGCCUGCGAAGGUGUUCCGUAAGGAAUGCUGGAGGUAUCAGAAGUGAGAAUGCUGACAUGAGUAGCGAAAAGAAGUGUGAGAGACACUUCCGCUGAAAGUCCAAGGUUUCCUGCGUAAAGCUAAUCUGCGCAGGGUUAGUCGGCCCCUAAGGCGAGGCAGAGAUGCGUAGUCGAUGGGAAUCAGGUUAAUAUUCCUGAACCAACUAGGAAGUGACGGAUUCAGUAAAUUGUAUGUCCUUAUUGGAUUGGAUGUGCAGUGAAUGAGUCCCGGGAAAUAGCCCUAGUAUAGACCGUACCCGAAACCGACACAGGUGGACAGGUAGAGAAUACCAAAGCGCUUGAGAGAACUAUGUUGAAGGAACUAGGCAAAAUGACUUGCGUAACUUCGGGAUAAGCAAGCCCCAUUUCUGGGCAACCAGAGGUGGGGGGCACAUACUAGGGGGUAGCGACUGUUUACUAAAAACACAGGGCUCUGCUAAAUUGAAAGAUGAAGUAUAGGGUCUGACGCCUGCCCGGUGCUGGAAGGUUAAGGAGAGAUGUGCAAGCAUUGAACUGAAGCCCCAGUAAACGGCGGCCGUAACUAUAACGGUCCUAAGGUAGCGAAAUUCCUUGUCGGGUAAGUUCCGACCUGCACGAAUGGCGUAACGACUUCCCCGCUGUCUCCAACAUAGACUCAGCGAAAUUGAAUUCUGAGUUAAGAUGCUCAGUACCCGCGGUUAGACGGAAAGACCCCGUGAACCUUUACUAUAGCUUUGCAGUGGUAUUAGGUGACAAAUGUGUAGGAUAGGUGGGAGGCUAUGAAGUUAUGACGCUAGUUGUAAUGGAGCAGACGUUGAAAUACCACCCUUUUGUUAUUUGAUAUCUAACCUGCUUCCGUUAUCCGGAAGAGGGACCCUGCAUGGUGGGUAGUUUGACUGGGGCGGUCGCCUCCCAAAGAGUAACGGAGGCGCGCAAAGGUUGGCUCAGAUUGGUCGGAAAUCAAUCGUUGAGUGCAAUGGCAUAAGCCAGCCUGACUGCGAGAGCGACAGUUCGAGCAGAGACGAAAGUCGGUCAUAGUGAUCCGGUGGUCCCGAGUGGAAGGGCCAUCGCUCAACGGAUAAAAGGUACUCCGGGGAUAACAGGCUGAUUCC
rnacentral:rRNA from 1 species